GCUCAGGACGAACGCUGGCGGCGUGCCUAAUACAUGCAAGUCGAGCGAAUCGNNNGGAGCUUGCUCCCUGAGAUUAGCGGCGGACGGGUGAGUAACACGUGGGCAACCUGCCUAUAAGACUGGGAUAACUUCGGGAAACCGGAGCUAAUACCGGAUACGUUCUUUUCUCGCAUGAGAGAAGAUGGAAAGACGGUUUACGCUGUCACUUAUAGAUGGGCCCGCGGCGCAUUAGCUAGUUGGUGAGGUAAUGGCUCACCAAGGCGACGAUGCGUAGCCGACCUGAGAGGGUGAUCGGCCACACUGGGACUGAGACACGGCCCAGACUCCUACGGGAGGCAGCAGUAGGGAAUCUUCCGCAAUGGACGAAAGUCUGACGGAGCAACGCCGCGUGAACGAAGAAGGCCUUCGGGUCGUAAAGUUCUGUUGUUAGGGAAGAACAAGUACCAGAGUAACUGCUGGUACCUUGACGGUACCUAACCAGAAAGCCACGGCUAACUACGUGC
rnacentral:rRNA from 2 species